rnacentral:piRNA from 1 species
UGAGACUUUGAUAAAUCUCAACAGGGGUGGU